rnacentral:rRNA from 1 species
UACAGAGGUCCCAAGCGUUGUUCGGAUUCACUGGGCGUAAAGGGCGCGUAGGUGGCCUGCUAAGCGUGCGGUGAAAGCCUGGGGCUCAACCCCGGGUCGGCCGUGCGAACUGGUGGGCUUGAGCACUGUAGAGGCAGGCGGAAUUCCGGGUGUAGCGGUGGAAUGCGUAGAGAUCCGGAAGAACACCGGUGGCGAAGGCGGCCUGCUGGGCAGUAGCUGACACUGAGGCGCGACAGCGUGGGGAGCAAACAGG